UGGGGAAUAUUGCACAAUGGGGGAAACCCUGAUGCAGCGACGCCGCGUGAGUGAAGAAGUAUUUCGGUAUGUAAAGCUCUAUCAGCAGGGAAGAAAAUGACGGUACCUGACUAAGAAGCCCCGGCUAACUACGUGCCAGCAGCCGCGGUAAUACGUAGGGGGCAAGCGUUAUCCGGAUUUACUGGGUGUAAAGGGAGCGUAGACGGCCAGACAAGUCAGAAGUGAAAGCCCAGGGCUCAACCCUGGGACUGCUUUUGAAACUGCCGGGCUGGAGUGCAGGAGAGGUAAGCGGAAUUCCUAGUGUAGCGGUGAAAUGCGUAGAUAUUAGGAGGAACACCAGUGGCGAAGGCGGCUUACUGGACUGUAACUGACGUUGAGGCUCGAAAGCGUGGGGAGCAAACA
rnacentral:rRNA from 2 species